CCUGUUUCUCCGCCUAACGCCUGAGCUGUUGCUCCGCCUAACGCCUGACCUGUGCUCGCCUCACGCCCAGCCUGUUGAUCGGUGGACGGGUAAGCGCGCAUGGCAUCGGAAGGAGCUCGAAAAGUAUAAGGUGAUGACAGUAAGUAACGUUACUGUGAUUUGUGAUCUUUCUGGGGUGUUAACUGUAAAGCAAUGGAUAAUUGCGUGAAAAUCAAACUAAAAGAAUGCAAUCUUGAGGAGUUAAUCCCCACAUUUGAAGCACAGGAGCGAACCUUUCCUCGUUUUUAGGUCAAUUUGAAUACAAUUCAGAGGGGUGGCAUGGGGGCGCAGUGGGUAGUGCUGU